rfam:Acyrthosiphon pisum strain LSR1 Contig21166, whole genome shotgun sequence.
AAAAAGGCCCUUUUUAGGGCCACCACAAACAAUAUAAUAUUUUACU